AUUGAACGCUGGCGGCAGGCCUAACACAUGCAAGUCGAGCGAGCGGCGGACGGGUGAGUAAUGUCUGGGAAACUGCCUGAUGGAGGGGGAUCACUCCUGGAAACGGUAGCUAAUACCGCAUACAAUCAGAUGUGCCCAGAUGGGAUUAGCUAGUAGGUGGGGUAACGGCUCACCUCGUCGACGAUCCCUAGCUGGUCUGAGAGGCUGACCAGCCACCCGGGAACUGGGAAACGGUCCCGACUCCGACGGGAGGCAGCAGGGGGGAAUAUUGCACAAUGGGCGCAAGCCUGAUGCAGCCAUGCCGCGUGUGGGAAGAAGGCCUUCGGGUUGUAAAGCACUUUCAGCGGGGAGGCGUUACCCGCAGAAGAAGCACCGGCGAACUCCGUGCCAGCAGCCGCGGUAAUAC
rnacentral:rRNA from 1 species